rnacentral:rRNA from 1 species
AAGACCCCAGAAAGACUAACUGGUUGAUAGGUCGAAGGUGUAAGUGCAGCAAUGUAUUUAGCUUAUCGAUACUAAUAGGUCGAGGACUUGACCAAUAUUUAUU